rnacentral:rRNA from 1 species
CACGUAGGGCGCAAGCGUUGUCCGGAAUUAUUGGGCGUAAAGAGCUCGUAGGCGGUCUGUCGCGUCGGCUGUGAAAACCCGGAGCUCAACUCCGGGCCUGCAGUCGAUACGGGCAGACUGGAGUUCGGCAGGGGAGACUGGAAUUCCUGGUGUAGCGGUGAAAUGCGCAGAUAUCAGGAGGAACACCGGUGGCGAAGGCGGGUCUCUGGGCAAUAACUGACGCUGAGGAGCGAAAGCGUGGGGAGCGAACAGG